rnacentral:rRNA from 1 species
UACGUAGGGUCCGAGCGUUGUCCGGAAUUAUUGGGCGUAAAGGGCUCGUAGGCGGUUCGUCACGUCGGGAGUGAAAACUCGGAGCUUAACUCCGAGCCUGCUUCCGAUACGGGCAGACUAGAGGUAGGCAGGGGAGAGCGGAACUCCUGGUGUAGCGGUGGAAUGCGCAGAUAUCAGGAAGAACACCGGUGGCGAAGGCGGCUCUCUGGGCCUUACCUGACGCUGAGGAGCGAAAGCCAGGGGAGCAAACGGG